ACCGCACAAGCGGUGAUGAUGUGGAUUAAUUCGAUGCAACGCGAAAACCUUACCUACCUUGACAUGUCCAGAACCUGCAGAGAUGCGGGGGUGCCCGAAAGGGAAUUGGAACACAGGUGCUGCAUGGCUGUCGUCAGCUCGUGUCGUGAGAUGUUGGGUUAAGUCCCGCAACGAGCGCAACCCUUAUCAUUAGUUGCUACGCAAGGGCACUCUAAUGAGACUGCCGGUGACAAACCGGAGGAAGUGGGGAUGACGUCAAGUCCUCAUGGCCCUUAUGGGUAGGGCUUCACACGUCAUACAAUGGUCGGUACAGAGGGUUGCCAAGCCGCGAGGUGGAGCCAAUCCCAGAAAGCCGAUCGUAGUCCGGAUUGUUCUCUGCAACUCGAGAGCAUGAAGUCGGAAUCGCUAGUAAUCGCGGAUCAGCAUGUCGCGGUGAAUACGUUCCCGGGUCUU
rnacentral:rRNA from 1 species